rnacentral:rRNA from 1 species
AUACGGAGGGUGCAAGCGUUACUCGGAAUCACUGGGCGUAAAGCGCGCGCAGGCGGCUUGAUAAGUUGGAUGUGAAAGCCUACGGCUCAACCGUAGAACUGCAUCCAAAACUGUCAAGCUAGAGUCUGGGAGGGGAAGAUGGAAUUAGUUGUGUAGGGGUAAAAUCCGUAGAGAUAACUAGGAAUACCAAAAGCGAAGGCGAUAUUCUGGAACAGUACUGACGCUGAGGCGCGAAAGCGUGGGGAGCGAACAGGAUUAGAUACCCCAGUAGUCC